rnacentral:ribozyme from 1 species
CUUCCCCUUAUAAACUAUCAGUGGAAUGAACGCUAAAGCAGAGAGAAUUGAGCAUCUUAUACAAGUCAUCAACAGAAACUUACUUCUAAUAUACAAUGGUCAAAUCG